rnacentral:rRNA from 1 species
UACGGGAGGCAGCAGUGAGGAAUAUUGGUCAAUGGACGAGAGUCUGAACCAGCCAAGUAGCGUGCAGGAUGACGGCCCUAUGGGUUGUAAACUGCUUUUGUCGGGGAAUAAAGUGGCGUACGUGUACGUUUUUGUAUGUACCCGAAGAAUAAGGACCGGCUAAUUCCGUGCCAGCAGCCGCGGUAAU